GCAAAGAAAUAGAGAUGAGCUAGAGGGGGCCGGGGCCGGGAGAGCCAAGGGCCCGAGGGAGAUGGAGAAAGAUGUGAAGCUAUUUGCUUCUGAGUGGAAUGUUGUCUGGUUCAAGGUCUUUUGCUUUGUGAUCCAUCUGUGUAGAGCUUCUAAGUAUUCCUUGGAUCUGCAAGAUCUCGGACCAGGCUUCAUUCCCCUCAGAAAUAGCUUCAAAAAUGAUAUCGCGGAGAGUUAGGAGAGCUACUAGCUAGUGUAUAAAUUUGUUCUAGUUUUUUUUUUGAAAUAUUUGUUUGAGUGUUCGUGAGAUUCCUGGCCGUUCUUAGUAGUAUGCAUGGUGUGGAGCACCGUACUUCCGCUCCUGGAUCUUUACUACUACUCCACUGUGCUUUUUUGUUUGUUUGUUUGCUUGCUUGCUUGCUGCGAAAUCGAGGAGCAGCGCAAGAUUGGUGUAAUGAUGGCCUGCCUUUUGACCCCUCCUUUCUCUGUGCAUCUCUGUGCAUCUGGCAGGCAUGCAGCAGGUGAUGAAAGUUCCCAUCAUUACCUCUUGAUUGGGAGAAUCUUCGCUUUCUCUCUCUCGGCUUCUUCUUCUUCGUGUUCAUUUUUUUUCCUCCUCUCCGUUGUCUCUCUUUGUUUGCAGCAUAUGGCUUUGCUGGUACGGUGCUCAGAUUGUUUCCAAGAACAUGGCAUUCACAAAGCUGGUGCAAAGCUUUACAUCUGCAUCGAUCUGAUGACUAUAUAUAUAUUCUUGUUUUCAGAUAUCUGUUGCUUAUUUCUAAGUUCGAGGAUAGUUUUUGCGUGGUGCGCUGGACCUGCUGCUUCAAAGUUUUUGGAGAGCUUGGGACGAGAUCCACUAUUUAUAGGCGUGUAUUUUCUUCAUAUUAUGUUGACACCCAUGGAGGUUGAUGUAAACAACGGGAGCUCAUGCAUGCAUGUAUUCCUAGAGCCAACAAUAAUAACAUGAUAUAUAACAUCGAUGUAUAAUAAAUAUAAUGCUCCACAUCAGGUGUGUGUUUGUUCUUCUCAUCAGGCGUUUCUGAUACAUGAGGUAUACCUGUUGCCUAUUGAUGCAAA